rnacentral:rRNA from 1 species
GACGAACGCUGGCGGCGUGCUUAACACAUGCAAGUCGAACGGAAAGGCCUCUUUCGGGGGGUACUCGAGUGGCGAACGGGUGAGUAACACGUGAGUAACCUGCCCUUGACUUUGGGAUAACUUCAGGAAACUGGGGCUAAUACCGGAUAGGAGCUCCUGCUGCAUGGUGGGGGUUGGAAAGUUUCGGCGGUUGGGGAUGGACUCGCGGCUUAUCAGCUUGUUGGUGGGGUAGUGGCUUACCAAGGCUUUGACGGGUAGCCGGCCUGAGAGGGUGACCGGCAGCAGGGAGACGGAGACAGGGCCACGACCCAGACGGGAGCGAGAGGGGGGAAUGUGGGACAAUGGGGUAGGGGCCAAAGCCGGACCCGGCGAGGGGGGGAGGACGGCGUAGGGUUUGUAACCCGAUUCCCCUCAUAACAAGGUUUGGUGUGAGGGGAGGGGGAAAAGAAGCCCCGGCUAACUACGUG